rnacentral:rRNA from 1 species
ACUCCUACGGGAGGCAGCAGUAGGGAAUCUUCCGCAAUGGACGCAAGUCUGACGGAGCAACGCCGCGUGAGUGAUGAAGGUUUUCGGAUCGUAAAGCUCUGUUGCCAGGGAAGAACGCUUAGGAGAGUAACUGCUCUUAAGGUGACGGUACCUGAGAAGAAAGCCCCGGCUAACUACGUGCCAGCAGCCGCGGUAAU